rnacentral:rRNA from 1 species
AGUGAACGCUGGCGGUAGGCCUAACACAUGCAAGUCGAACGGCAGCACAGUAAGAGCUUGCUCUUACGGGUGGCGAGUGGCGGACGGGUGAGGAAUACAUCGGCAUCUACUUUUUCGUGGGGGAUAACGUAGGGAAACUUACGCUAAUACCGCAUACGACCUACGGGUGAAAGCAGGGGAUCUUCGGACCUUGCGCGAUUGAAUGAGCCGAUGUCGGAUUAGCUAGUUGGCGGGGUAAAGGCCCACCAAGACGACGAUCCGUAGCUGGUCUGAGAGGAUGAUCUGCCACACUGUAACUGAGAGACGGUCCAGACUCCGACGGGAGGCGGCAGUGUGGAAUAUUGGACGAAGGGCGCAAGCCUGAUCCAGCCAUACCGCGUGGGUGAAGAAGGCCUUCUGGUUGUAAAACCCUUUUGUUGGGAAAGAAAAGCAGCAGGUUAAUACCCCGCUGUUCUGACGGUACCCAAAGAAUAAGCACCGGCUAACUUCGUG